rnacentral:rRNA from 1 species
GGGACACGUGGUAUCCUGUCUGAAUAUGGGGGGACCAUCCUCCAAGGCUAAAUACUCCUGACUGACCGAUAGUGAACCAGUACCGUGAGGGAAAGGCGAAAAGAACCCCGGCGAGGGGAGUGAAAAAGAACCUGAAACCGUGUACGUACAAGCAGUGGGAGCCUCUUAAUGGGGUGACUGCGUACCUUUUGUAUAAUGGGUCAGCGACUUAUAUUCUGUAGCAAGGUUAACCGAAUAGGGGAGCCGAAGGGAAACCGAGUCUUAACUGGGCGUUAAGUUGCAGGGUAUAGACCCGAAACCCGGUGAUCUAGCCAUGGGCAGGUUGAAGGUUGGGUAACACUAACUGGAGGACCGAACCGACUAAUGUUGAAAAAUUAGCGGAUGACUUGUGGCUGGGGGUGAAAGGCCAAUCAAACCGGGAGAUAGCUGGUUCUCCCCGAAAGCUAUUUAGGUAGCGCCUCGUGAAUUCAUCUCCGGGGGUAGAGCACUGUUUCGGCAAGGGGGUCAUCCCGACUUACCAACCCGAUGCAAACUGCGAAUACCGGAGAAUGUUAUCACGGGAGACACACGGCGGGUGCUAACGUCCGUCGUGAAGAGGGAAACAACCCAGACCGCCAGCUAAGGUCCCAAAGUCAUGGUUAAGUGGGAAACGAUGUGGGAAGGCCCAGACAGCCAGGAUGUUGGCUUAGAAGCAGCCAUCAUUUAAAGAAAGCGUAAUAGCUCACUGGUCGAGUCGGCCUGCGCGGAAGAUGUAACGGGGCUAAACCAUGCACCGAAGCUGCGGCAGCGACACUAUGUGUUGUUGGGUAGGGGAGCGUUCUGUAAGCCUGUGAAGGUGGCCUGUGAGGGUUGCUGGAGGUAUCAGAAGUGCGAAUGCUGACAUAAGUAACGAUAAAGCGGGUGAAAAGCCCGCUCGCCGGAAGACCAAGGGUUCCUGUCCAACGUUAAUCGGGGCAGGGUGAGUCGACCCCUAAGGCGAGGCCGAAAGGCGUAGUCGAUGGGAAACAGGUUAAUAUUCCUGUACUUGGUGUUACUGCGAAGGGGGGACGGAGAAGGCUAUGUUGGCCGGGCGACGGUUGUCCCGGUUUAAGCGUGUAGGCUGGUUUUCCAGGCAAAUCCGGAAAACCAAGGCUGAGGCGUGAUGACGAGGCACUACGGUGCUGAAGUGACAAAUGCCCUGCUUCCAGGAAAAGCCUCUAAGCAUCAGGUAACAUCAAAUCGUACCCCAAACCGACACAGGUGGUCAGGUAGAGAAUACCAAGGCGCUUGAGAGAACUCGGGUGAAGGAACUAGGCAAAAUGGUGCCGUAACUUCGGGAGAAGGCACGCUGAUAUGUAGGUGAAGCGACUUGCUCGUGGAGCUGAAAUCAGUCGAAGAUACCAGCUGGCUGCAACUGUUUAUUAAAAACACAGCACUGUGCAAACACGAAAGUGGACGUAUACGGUGUGACGCCUGCCCGGUGCCGGAAGGUUAAUUGAUGGGGUUAGCGGUAACGCGAAGCUCUUGAUCGAAGCCCCGGUAAACGGCGGCCGUAACUAUAACGGUCCUAAGGUAGCGAAAUUCCUUGUCGGGUAAGUUCCGACCUGCACGAAUGGCGUAAUGAUGGCCAGGCUGUCUCCACCCGAGACUCAGUGAAAUUGAACUCGCUGUGAAGAUGCAGUGUACCCGCGGCAAGACGGAAAGACCCCGUGAACCUUUACUAUAGCUUGACACUGAACAUUGAGCCUUGAUGUGUAGGAUAGGUGGGAGGCUUUGAAGUGUGGACGCCAGUCUGCAUGGAGCCGACCUUGAAAUACCACCCUUUAAUGUUUGAUGUUCUAACGUUGGCCCGUAAUCCGGGUUGCGGACAGUGUCUGGUGGGUAGUUUGACUGGGGCGGUCUCCUCCUAAAGAGUAACGGAGGAGCACGAAGGUUGGCUAAUCCUGGUCGGACAUCAGGAGGUUAGUGCAAUGGCAUAAGCCAGCUUGACUGCGAGCGUGACGGCGCGAGCAGGUGCGAAAGCAGGUCAUAGUGAUCCGGUGGUUCUGAAUGGAAGGGCCAUCGCUCAACGGAUAAAAGGUACUCCGGGGAUAACAGGCUGAUACCGCCCAAGAGUUCAUAUCGACGGCGGUGUUUGGCACCUCGAUGUCGGCUCAUCACAUCCUGGGGCUGAAGUAGGUCCCAAGGGUAUGGCUGUUCGCCAUUUAAAGUGGUACGCGAGCUGGGUUUAGAACGUCGUGAGACAGUUCGGUCCCUAUCUGCCGUGGGCGCUGGAGAACUGAGGGGGGCUGCUCCUAGUACGAGAGGACCGGAGUGGACGCAUCACUGGUGUUCGGGUUGUCAUGCCAAUGGCACUGCCCGGUAGCUAAAUGCGGAAGAGAUAAGUGCUGAAAGCAUCUAAGCACGAAACUUGCCCCGAGAUGAGUUCUCCCUGAGACUUAGAGUCUCCUGAAGGAACGUUGAAGACGACGACGUUGAUAGGCCGGGUGUGUAAGCGCAGCGAUGCGUUGAGCUAACCGGUACUAAUGAACCGUGAGGCUUAACCUUACAACGCCGAAG